rnacentral:lncRNA from 1 species
CAGCCGCACAAGGAAAAGAGGCAGGAGACGGAGCAGGAGAAGGAGAAGAAAAGGACGACGGCGCCGUUGGCGCUGGAGCUCCCGCGAACCGCGAGGCCGGCGGCGAUGGCGGCCGAGAAGCGGGAGAGCAGGGGCCGGAGGAGCAGCCCCCGCAGGCCGCCGUCGAAUGUCCGCAGCCUGGAGCCAGGCGGCAGCCGGGCCGCCGCGCCACGUUCACCCCGGUGCAGCUGCGGGAGCUGGAGGGCGUUUUCCGCCACACUCCGUAUCCCGAAUUGUGGUUGCGACAGGAGCUUGCUAGACGCAUGGGUGUGACUGAAGCCAGGGUGCAGGUUUGGUUUAAGAAUAGGAGGGCCAAGUGGAGGAGAUGGCAGAGGGCGUUGAUGUUCAGAGUCAUGCCCCCCGUGGUCCUGGGCCCCCCCGUCGUCAUUGGCUCGGGCAGACCCAGAAGUACCAUCCUGAUUCGGACUCCGGAUGGCAUGCGGAUGCUUUUGCAGCCGCUGCCGCCGGGGCUGCCUCUGCCGCCGGGGUCUCCCUUUCCUCCUGUGUUCUUGCCGCCGCCUCCGCCCUGGCUUCUUCCACCUUUCCUUCCCUGUGGCUGCUGUCGUGUGGCAUGGCCUGCUCCCUUACCAUCAGGGGGCCUUUUGUAGCCCACAUUUUCUAAAGAAUGGUCCCUGUGACAGUUUUUUCAAAGUUCUUUUGAGCCAAGUUCGAAUUCUGCAUCCCUCACCAUCAAGAGCAGUUCACCAAAUGCCUGCUAAAUGUGUUAAAUAAAAGUACGCAGUCAUUGACCCUCUCUUAUAGGGCACGUGUUUGUAUUUUCAAUAAAGUUGUGAAUUCUCUGCAAA